UCCCCUUUGUGGCGCUACAUAGCACUUGGCGCUAUGAAUAUUAAUUAAUAUUGGCGUGUGGAUGUCUGCGGGGUGGGACAGUUAUCAAGCAUGUAAAUAUUUUGUUCAGAUGUGAGUGUAACACAGAUGAAAUGAUCUAGGUUUAAAAAUAGGAAAAGCCUAUAAAAAUCUGAAUGAGAGUGAUUUUAUUCUUGAGAGAUUAUCUAAGGAUUUUAAAGGGUUAAAAUUCAGUUACCAGGGCAAAAUAGACAGACAGGUUAGUUUGGCUAAUCAGCUGACAGCAGGUAGGCCUGCCCACCUGCUCCCGCGUGUCUGGGAGCGAGCGAAAUAUUUUUUUUCCCGCUGCUGUGUGUGUGUGUGGAGAGACAGAAGUGCUGCUGUAGAGGAUGAAAACUGUGAAAAAUGGAGAAACCUGGAGAAAAUACAGCUAAAAACGAACUACACUGAGGCUAACUUCAACACUACAAACGUGGUAGCUAACUGCUGUAAGAAUUUAGUUGUAAGUUCAGUGUUUAGAUGUAGCGCUUGAGACGACUACUAGCAGCGUCGGUAGCUUUGAUGUCCGUAGGAUUUCCCGCGACGCGCAGUCUUUGCUGAUUCAAGAGCGAGAAGACCUUGUGGCUUUACUGUGCGCCGCCAUUUUGGGUGUGUGUCCAGCCGCUCUGGUGAAAUCGGUCAGGGUUUUUUUUUUUGUGUGUGUGUUUCUUUUUCCAUUGUCUGGAUUGGAUCUGCGGAUGAAAAUUGAUGGCGAGCCGUCCCUCUUGAAUGAUUGUGGAAGCCAUUCCCUCUUCAGGAUCACUGGACCUGUCCCGCUACUACUGCACUUUGCGGUGUGGUAGGCCCCACUACAACACAAAACCCCUUCACUCACCUUCACACUCCUUCCCCCACACACAUACAUACACCAACCCUAUGGAACUCUGAACUCUGACUUACCUUCGACACAUCCAUUUUUUUGUUUGGACUUUGGACUCACUUAAACAAACUCACCUGUUCACA